UCGAACCCGCAACCUCAUGGAUGCUACUGAUCAGGUUCAUAACCCUCUGAGCCACCACGGGAACUCCGGAGAAGCAUUUAUUCUUGAAAACCUGCUCUGUGGGUCAGACCAGUGGGAGUGGCCGCACAGCCUGUUGGCAUUAUCCCUGUGUGGGACUGGCAGCUUUGCCACCCGAGGACCAACUGGAUGGGGGUGGAGGCAAAAAUCCAGGGCUUUUUCAGCAGAAAGUGGUGAACCCCAGAGGAAGAAAAUGAAAAUCCGCCAAAUUUGCUCAGCUGAGGCUGUGGACCUAGUUGGGAUGAGCAGCCAACCCACCAGAAAGGUAAUGGGGACAUCUUGGGGACGUGAGUGCCACCGAGGGGCUGGGCUGGCCCCGGGGGAGCGUGUGCAGGUGUGGGUGCGGGCCUGACACAGACCGGCCAGAGGGAGCUUGUGGGGCGGUGGCGGGUUCUAAAGCUCAUCCUGCACUGGCUGCAUCGGGCCACCCCUUGUCCCAGAGGACGGUGUAAACUCGCUUGGAGAGCAGUGUGUGGCACCCACGUUUCUCUCCAUGGUCUCAAAGUGAACUCGAGGGGACCCGGAGCAGGAACCCGGCUGCGGGGCAGAACCACGCGACGUGCUCGUGAAAACGGAGCUGCCCUCCCCGCCCCCCUCUACCCGCUUGUUUCCUGGGGUAAAGGCCCAGCCGCAGGUGCUUUAGAGGAUCUCCAGCUGAUCCCCAUUUGCAGCCGCAUUUGAAAACCACGGGACGACCGGAGCUGGGUUCCUCCUGGCCAGGCUGAGGUCCCCGGCAGACUCCAGGAGCUGGAGGAGGAGACAGAUGCCGAGCAAGGCAGGAGGCACAGACCCAGCUGGAGGCGGACGGGGAGACGAAGAGCUGUGACAGCCAACUGAGCGGAAACCCCUCGAGGCCAAGGGACAGCAGAGCAGCAGAGCCACCGGGCUGGGCACGUUCUCCUUACGCGCUCCCGGGCCCACAGCAGGAGGGGCAGAAGCCAAGAUCCUACCUGCCUGUGUCUUCUCCAGCCUCCCCCCCAGGGCGGGCGGCAGGGCAGGGGUGACCUGGCUCAGGCCCCGAGCCCCGGGGCCCGCCUGAGGGGGCGCGCGUGCUCCUGCCCUCACUUCAGCGCCCUGGUCACUUUGUAGCUGUGGUAGAAGACACAGCACACCAGCACGAAGGCGACGAGCAGCAAGCCGCCGGCGACGGAGAGCAUGACCUUGAAGUCCAGCUUCUCAACGACCAUGGCCACGUCGAGCAAAGCGCACACCUGGGCAGCGAAGGGCCGGGAAACGGUGACCGCCCCCCACCUCCACCCCUCACAGGCUGGUCUAGGAUGGGGAAGGGGUUUCCCUGUGGACGAAAGGGACUGCGACGUGAAGCCCAGAGAGGGGAAAUCAGGACACGUAGAGGGAGAGCCGUCUCCCCCCCACAGGCCGAAGCGUGCAGGUGCAGAGGCCAGCGCUUGAGCCGGGCGGGGUGUGGGGGGCAAAGCCCGGGCCUCCUGAAAUGUGUUUACCUGCAGAGUCAGGCUUAAAAGCGCCCUGUGGGAGCAACGAAGGCAGCGUCUUUUUUCACCGUGUUCAGCUCUGCAAAGCCGAGAAUAUGCAAACCCAUCUUGUGUAUGAUCCAUGGCGAGGGAAAAUAUUUCAGGUCUCCCACUGACAAUGGGGUCAUGCCAUCUCAGCAUUUAAGGACAUUCCAGAAGCUCCCAGCCAAACCUUCCCCGGGCUCAGGGAUGGGGAGCGCCCUGCCCAGACCAGGAAGCUUCGCCCGGGGUCCCUGUCCCACAUUCUGACUUUAUUUAGAUCCCGCCCCUACUUCGGCUGUUUUCCCUGCCAAAUGCAACCGAUUUCCUCUGAAUCCAGUGCACCUGGGAAAAGCAACUUGGUUAAUCCAACCCUCUGAGCCUUGAGAAGCCAGUCCUUUCAAAGGCCAGGUGAUGACUCGGGAGAGGAGAACCACGCGAACGGUAAGCGCACCUCCCGAGUCCAGGCGCCCUGAGCUGCACGAAGCCAAGUGAAGAUCAAAUUAAUCGACCAAGACCUUCAGUAACAAGCCCCCUCCUGCCUCCUAGAAGGGGUCUUAGUGUCACGGCGAGGGACCUGCCGUGCGAGUUUCAGGGCUGACUUCCAGAAGCUCCGUCGUCCGCCAGGGCUCAGGGGAGGGAGAGGCCAGGUCUGGGGCUUUUAGACCCAUCAGGACACAGGCUGUGUGACAUCAGCGCUUGGAACGCCAGCUCCCAGUCACAAAGUUCUCAAUUCCGUCCUGCAUUUUGGCUUAUCCUCACCUCCUGGGAAAUGCGGAAUGUCUAGGUGCUAUUUUGUGUCAUUUUGUUUUGUAGUUUUUUAGCACUGCGAGUUCUUGUUUCCCCCAGAGAAAACGUGGAGGGUUUGUCUUCUAAUCAAAAGACAGAAGGAGGAGUUCCCACUGUGGUGCAGCGGGUUCAUAACCCGGCUUGUCUCUCUAGAGGCACCAGUUGGAUCCCUGGCCCGACACAGUGGGUAGAGGAUCCGGUGUUGCUGCAGCUGCGGUGUGGGUCGCAGCUCUGUUUCAGGUUGGGUUCCUGCCCAGGAACUUCCAUAUCCUGUGGGGAUGGUCAAAAAAGGAAAAAAAAAAAAAAGAUGAGAAACCCUGCCACGUGGGGAGGUGAACAAUGUCCCCAGACCCCAGAGUUCUGGCCACACAGAGGACCCUGUAGCCGUUUCGCACAACGCAGAGCUGUGCCCGCUGAGCUGCACUGACGUGGUUAAGUGGACAUGUGACACCUACUGACAUACACGCUGUGGUUUCAUGUAGGGUUAUCUGUGGUACACACCCAGCGUAUAACCGAGAGCAGAGCUGAGACCUGUGUACCGACGUGGAUACGUCCCACGCAGUGGGCAGAAACGAGAUGAUUGUGGCCCUGGGCACAUAUUUCUGAUGAUGAAGGCAGAGAGCCUGCCAAGCCAGUUCUGUCAGACCAGGGGGUCCAUGUAGCACGUGAGGCUUCUCACGGAAGCCCGGCACAGGAGGGGGCAGAGCAGACCUCACGGGCACAGGCGUGGGGACGGGCAGCCAGCAGGCUCCAGGGGACCGCUCUCUCUGCUCGCUGGUCUGUGGGAAUGUUUCACUAGAAAACUCCUGCUUUGCAGUUGUCUCCGUUCAAGUCACCAAGGAAAGUGAGCCCAGCUGGUUUUUGCGCCAGGUGUCAGGUGGCUGGAUGGUUCUUUUUCUUUUUCUUUUUUUUAAGGUUCAGGUGAAGGAUCAUUCGACCUUGCAUUUGACUGGAUUCAUAGAGAAACCAGAAUGGAGAAGUGACAGUGAAAUGCAGCACGUAUUUUUUCCCUAACAGCUGGUACCACCGGCUUUAUGAAAAUUGGAACAACCAGACGAGGUCCCGGGAUGCUGUCCAGAGUCUCACCAGCUGGCAUGGCAUCUCCACCCAAAACAUCGACGCCCUGUCCACGUCUGGAUGCCGGAGAGAGACAAACGCUAUUGUUUUAAAAGGUUAGGUAAAACUUUCAAUGCAUCAAUGAUUAAUUUGUGAAAACUGAUGCAGAUCCUGAGGACAAUGCAAACUAAACAGAAGGAAGUGGACAAAUGGCAAGUGCUCAUUUUGCCAAGCUAUGACAGACAUCAGCUCACUGAUGAAAACACCUGAAAAUCUCAAGGUACCAAAAAAAGCGGUCUGUAAAAAUUCAGCUCAAAACAAGCUUAUUCCAGGCAAUUUUCUGGUCCAGUUCUGACUCCUUCAGAGCAGUGUGGCUGGGGAGUGGAGGGGCCGCCAGCCAACAUGCAGGCUCAGCAGCAGGAGCUAAAGGUCAGCAGCAGCACCCCCUCCUACCCUCGGGCCAGGCAGGCUUGGUGGCAGGGCAAGUGCGUGUCCACAAAGGCAUCAGGCAUGUAAAUGCAAACCCUCCAUCCACCAGGAAAGAGCCUUCUCGAUUUGUAUGUUACGUCCUCUCUCUCUAAACUGAGACUGAUUAUCUAAGACAAGCAUGGCCUUGCCUGCUGUAGACCCUGGAAAAAGCAGCAUGUUUUAAGCAACUGGACAAGAGCCGGGGAGCAGCCAAAUGUUUCAAGUUGAAAAUGAAAAAAAAGAGGAGAGUACCUGUUCUUGAUCAACUGUCAUACAAAGUCAAGGAAAAGCAGAUUCCUUCAGAACAUGCACUAAAUACAGAGAACUGCACCCUGGCUCGUCUCCGAGAAAUCCUGCACUGAAGCUUCCUAAAAAGGGCGGCUUUUUCUGUGCGACUGAGAAGGAACACUGCAGAUGCACAGGAAGUUCCUGAACCCACCUGAACCACCACCACCAUCUGGAUAAAAGGUCCCUUGAGCACAAUAACAUUUAUCCAAAAGUAAUUCUCUCAAACCCACAUAGCUUAACAUACUUCAAAAAUAUUUAAAAGUGUAACGGCAUCACAGGAAGUCUGUUAACAUUGAGGUACCACAUACUUCGCAAGGAGAUACGUCUGAGUUCUACGUCUGGUUCUGCUGUCGGCAGUUCCACCAACGAGGCCAAAGAACGACCACGACCCUCUGCCCGGGAAAGGGGAACUCACUCUGCGUCUCACUGCUCUGCCUGUGGAGGGGACAUUUCCCUCGUGUUUAAUGAAACAAAGCACCGAAUGGACAAACCGGCCCCCGGCUGCAGAAGCACGGACAGCAUCUCUGCAGACCGGCCCCCGCCCCGCGUCACUGCACAGCACCGCCGGCGGCGCCGUGCGCCAGCUGCUCCAGCAGAUGGAGGAGAAGGUCGAUUCUUUCCAGGAGAGAUGCGUUUUUGUUAGCAGUAGCUCUCAGAAGCUGGGAGUAAAUCUGCUUGUUGGUUUUGAGGACUACGUCUUCUUCAAGGUUACUACUGGUUAAAGAGAGAGAGAGAGAGAGAUGAAGCCAACAAGUGAGGCCCACCAACAGCCGUGAAAGAUCCACGAGCUAAACACCAGCGGCGCAGUCAUUGCUUUUCAUGGGGCAGCAGGUGUUCUGUGAGUGCCAACUCCAUACCUACCUUCUUGCAUCCAUUGCUUAUGGGCCUGUUUUUAAAUAUUUAUUUCAAAACAUCAAUUAAAGCCAAAGAUUAUUCCUUUA